GAUGCAAGUUGGGCAAUUGCUGCUCUAUAACGAGGAACGUUAUGAGUAGAGGAAAGUCCGAACUCCAGAGAACAGGGUGCCGGAUAACGUCCGGGGGUCAAAUGCAUAAGCGUUUGAUUAAGGAAAGUGCAGCAGAAAAAAUACCGUCCCGCUUAUGCGGGGUAAGGGUGAAAAGGCAGGGUAAGAGCCUACCGCUUUGUUAGUAAUAACAAGGGUCCAGUAAUGGAGUUCCGACUAGUCGGAAUCAGUGUAAACCCCACCUGGAGCAAGGUCAUGUAUAAGACUACCCGUCUAUUUUAGACGGGUCAAAGUUGUUCGCUUUGUAUGUCUUGGGUAGACCGCUAGAGUUUGAUAGCAAUAUCAAAUCGAGAUAAAUAAUUGCCGUCCUGAUUAUUCGGGACACAGAAUUCGGCUUAUAGACUCGCAUCAUCA
rnacentral:RNase_P_RNA from 1 species